GUCUUUGGGUCGGCGAGGCGGAGGGGAGGAGACGGAGAGAGGAACGCAUCACCGCCGGAAGCACGGUUGCCGAUGCCGCUCCGCCGCCGCAGAACUGAACGGCCGGGGCGGGCAAAGGGCGGGAAAGGCGCCGUGCGGGGCGCACGCGCGGCGCCUCUCUCGCGGGGCUGCGGCCCGGGAACGCGAGGUCCGGGCGCCGCACGGGGGAACCCCCUGGGGAGGAGUGCCGCUUCCUCGGAUUUUGCAGGCGCGUCCCAGGCUGCGGGAACCCGGAGACUGGCGGGGAGAGGAAGAGCGGAGAGACUUCCUUCCCCAGCCCCAGUUUCAGGGCGCAGGAGCUUCCCUCAGACUCCGGGCUGGACGGCCUCGGACCAGAAGCGGCCUCGCCUUUCCGGCCCGCAGCCUCUCCUCAAGCUAAAGUUCCCAAGGAUUUGAGAAAAUGACACCAAAUCCCAAAUGAGAGGGAAUAAAGGAGUUCAUAAAAAAACUGAGAUUCCCUCAACGACUCCAUUUCAGCAGUCAUUGAUCUGGUAUGGAUAUGUGAAAUGACCAUCAGCCAAAUGCAGAAGGAUACACAAGUUGACGGCAAUACAUGGUGACCUAUCUAGUGGAAUGUUGAAACUUGACAGAGACCUGGAGGUGGGCUCAAACUCCACUCUGAGAUGCAUAAAAAUCUGUUGCAGGAGCCGCUCUUCCUGAGAACUUCCAACCAAAACACAGCUUCAUUCCUAUAACUAAGAAGGCUUUCAAACUGAUGCCAACCUUCAUGGGAAGAAAGGCAAACAAAACUGGGAGGAUGGCGUUGAAACUGAAAACAGGAAUGGGAGCUUUUUUAUCACGAGAUUCAUGUUUCUGGGAGAAGGACUGGCCUACAUUGAGGAGAGGAGCAUCUGAGCAGCCUCUACACAGAGCUUACUUUGGUGGCUGACUAAGUCCACAGAUUUUUCCAACUCAGUAACCUCAAGGUACUUCAACAGGAGGCACUGCUUGGGUCCUAAUCUUUAAGAUCUGCUGCUAGUUCUCUGGAAGAAACAUUAUUCACUAAAUUUUCAAAGGACAGAACAUUCUUCUUUUGGGCUAUUAAGGUUGGUCUCAAACAUAUGGUUUGACAUAAUAUUUUUGCAUCAUGCAGGGCAUUUAGAAGGGCAACUUUAAUAAAGUCACAAGAAUUAGGGAUAUGUUUGUAUGUGGCAGAAAUUGGCUCCAAAUAUCUAAGAUUCCAUGAUUUUGAGAAAGCUCUACAUGGGAUGACAUGCUGUUCACCGGAGGUAGAACUCAAUGUCUGAUUUUGCCUUACUGCCAACUCAAAAGCCAGGAAAAAUUCUUUUAAAAUGUCAAUACCAUUAGGUGAAUUAGGUGGCAAUGUUGCUCCUUGGCAGCUGGCAGCUCCUGCGUUGCUCAGGAAAUUGAAGCUUCCUGUAUUUAAAAACUGCAUAUUGUGUGAAUCUUGGCCAUGUGGGGAUGGUCCAUAGCUGGAAGAUGGCCGAGAAUUAUACGGGGACCCAGCACAGCUGCCACUGAAGAAGUCUCUAGAAAGCUGCUGUUCACUCCAGACCAUGCAUCGACUGUGCUCGGGGCGAUGAGGAUAGAGUCCUGGUGGGGUGUGAGGCUGUGCCCUAAACACAGUCUGAUAGUUAGAGUUGGUCCCAUAAAAGUCAUGGUUGGCUUGAGGGAGAGUAGGAUAAACAGGCUCUGAGUAUGCUGAGCAGUGUGGUGGGGCUGACAGUACUGGGCCCACACUCGGGGGUCUCCCUGCCAUUGGCCCCUGAUUAAUGACGCUUCCUCGGCUCGCCAUGGCGGGAGAAAUGGGUGGUGUCAUCAGAUGACCAGAGCUCUGGGAAAGCUCCAUUUGACCUGGAAAAAAGUUACCAGAGCAUUCACUAGUGGCAAAUUAAAAAUAGAUGGCUUCACAUCUUUUAAAAUUACGCACGAUUUAUUACUAUACCUUUUUUCCAACUUAGUUCAUUUCUAACCUCCAAAAAUAACAGGACUAGGGACCUAUAAAACUCUAGGUUUAAAAAGCAUCAUCACAGCAGUGUAUUCCACAACAGUGGCAACUUUUGGAGUUAGUGACUAUGGAGGAAAGCUUGGGAUGGCUUCAUCCUUCCGUGGGUAUAAAGAUGAUUAGAGAUCAAGCUUGGGAAGGGCAAGGGGUCUGCUGUUCACAUUUCUCUGUAAUUAAAAAACAAGCUGAAGGCUAAAUGGUUUGAAGUUUAGGGUAAAAGAAAAGGGCAAUAAUGUCAAAAUGACCAUGGAUUCAAAGCAGUCAAUUCAAAACUUCAUGCAGACCCCACUGAUGAGCAAUGAGUUAUGAAAGCCACCAAAUCCCUGGGUCUCCAAUUUUCCAUUGGUGGAAUUAUGCCCCUAAACUACCCAUGCCAGGUUUAAAAUUCUGUGUGUCCAAUGAAGUAAGGUAUAUAGAAGGAUUUCAAAGAACACAUAAGGCAAUAAGCAGACUUAAAGUAUUAUCUAGUAGCUAGUUUAAGCCAUAAACAUUCAGAUUGACAGAAACGGGACCCUAGACCAAAGAGGAAAAUUAUUGUAAUGGUAAUCCUAAAAUAGCUGAAUCUACUUUUUAAUGGAGGAGAAAUAAAGUCUCCUCAAAAUCCAAAAAUAAAUAAGAAGCUCGUAUUUUUCGACUUUCAAAGUAUUUUAAUGAUUUUGUGAACACCUAAUCUAUUUUUUUCUUCCACUAAGUGAAAAUAACCAAUUAUUGGGACCUCUGAUAUAACUAAGAGAGUAUGUUAAAAUGUGAUACCUAUCUUAAAAAUGGUAUUGAUAAAAAUGUGAAUGACAAAUGUUGAAAAUCACAAAAAUAUUAUAAAGCUUUGUUAUAAGUCAGUGAAGAUAAGCCUUUUUAUUCUUGAAAUGCCUGGAGUUUACCAGCUUUAAGAAAACAAAGGAAUAGGUUCCUGUGAGACAUACUGAAGCCUAUGUGGUUUUCUGGGUUGUUUCACAGCCUACCAGUGAGCGGCAUGUUGUCUGUAUUCCCAGCUGGGAAUGGGUGCAGAGCAGAGGUUAAGCCUCCAGGUUGACUGGAUGAUAGAGGAAGAUAGGCUGUUUCCACAUGGCUUUCAUUCUUCACGGUAUCGCUGGGAACAGUGCUCCCUUUAUUACGGUUGGCCAGAAAGCAUGAACUCGGAGAAGCAGUGAAGGCAGCUUUACUUGCAUCUGGAAAGAUUUUUUUUAAAUAGGAAAGCUAAUAUCAUUGCCACAUUCGUAGUGGAUAAGCCCAAGUUAAAAGAAAAACUGAAAAUGUUCUAAGGUUGUGUCAUAAAUCUGGAAAUUCCUGAGAAGUGUUUUCCAUGGGAAAUAAGACUGGCAGAUCUUUGGUGUUGGCAGUGGUGCUGGUUUUUGUUAACUGUAUAUUUGUGGAUGUAGGUGUGUUCUUCAGGGCACUAAAUAAUCCACUCUGUAGUGAACAGCCUUCAAAAUGCAAGUCAUCACAUCCCAAAUAUAUUGUGUUCCUCUUUCUUUAAAUUCCUAUAGAACUCAUCUCUACACCAUUUAUAAGGUGGUAUACCAUAUGUGCUGUCUUAAAUUCUAGUUAUUUUUGUAUUAUCGUCACUUCUCCAAUUUUACCUAAGUUCUCAGAAGUUAAGAAUAUUGAUUUGUAUUCUUCAGAGUUUCCAGUAAAGUACCUUGACUACUCUAUAUACCAAUGGAGGAAAGAAAAAAUAGGGCUCUCUUAGUGUUAGUAUCCUGUGUUAGUAGUGACAUUUUGGGGGUAAAAUCUGAGACUGUUAUAAAUCCAUUUAACAUGUGGGCUUACAAAUUCUCGAACUUAGAUUUCAACAAAGAAAUAUGCAAAACAAGAUAUACAUUUUAAAUUACCUGAGUUCUUCAUGUACUUGUCCAGUAAAUUCUGUAACUCCUGCUCUUUGUCGUUAUUAAACUGGGUCUCCAUGGCCAGCAGAAUGUAUUCAUCAAGAAGCAUUCGGAUCAAAUGGAAAGAACCUUGUUUAUGGAUAGGGAAUGGGGAGAGGGCAUUGUGAGAUGAAAUGAGGGAGAGAAAGAGAAGGAAGGAGAAAGAGAGAAGUCAAGUUAUCUUUGUGACCAUCUCGCAACACUUUACAAGGAGCAACUGAAAUAAACAAAUACUUGUUGGACUUUAAAUGACCUGCUAAGACCAACAUGCUUAACUUGGGUCUCUAAUCUUUUUGUGUACCGCCUGCCCAGCUCACUGUGUGUACUGUCCUGCCAGCUCUUUGGCCACUAAUUACAUCAAAGGAAAAUUCGGAUGAAAGUGAGACAUGCUUUAUGCUUUAAGAGGGCACACAUUGGAGUGUGAUAAGCUUUAACCUGGGGAGAAUGAGCUCUACUCUGCUCUAUUUCUGUUUACUUUGUACUAAAUAAUUAGACAAUAGCCAACAUGGUCUGAAAAAAGUAUCAAGUAAGAAGAUGUCUUUCUAGCCUGAAACAAAAUGCUCUUUCAUUUGAAAAAAAAGGAGAAAAGUAAUUUUCAUGUGGGAGAUGUCCUGGAAAACCUUAAACUUCUUUUAACUAUUCAACAGAUUUUCCAACAAAAGUCUUUUUUCAUAAUAAGGUCAGGUUUAAAUAUUGUAUAAUUUAAGAAACCUUAAAUAUAAGCAACAUAUUUCAAAUAAUAGACAAUAUAUUUUGUUCAUCCCUCAAUACAAGUUCACUGAUUUUAUCUAAUUCUGUUAAAAAUUAAAUGAACAAAUUUAGUUAAUUGUAACCUAUUUUAUAACGCGAGGAUUCUCAGAAUGCAACUACUAAAUGUGGAGGUACUGUCCAGGAGAUAGCAUUAUAACUACAAACUAAGAAUCUCAGAAAUUUUAGGAAAAAGAAGGUAUUCAAUUUCUGAAAAAGCUAACGACUCAAUUUUUUCAUAAGUUGUAUAGAUCAGGAUAGAUGGUUCAAAAACAUAUGACAGUAUGUCUUCUAAGCUGGUCUUUGAUUCUUGGAAUACAGCUAUGAGGGCAGGUUCCUGGAAAAGAUGCAAACAUUUGCCAUAUUUCAAUGAAUAGUGGCUUUGGAAAAUAAUGUAUUAAUUAUUGUUUAUUUGCUUGUUUAACAAAUAAAAUUUAUCUAAGCACUGA